GAUGAACGCUGGCGGCGUGCCUAAUACAUGCAAGUCGAGCGAACGGACGAGAAGCUUGCUUCUCUGAUGUUAGCGGCGGACGGGUGAGUAACACGUGGAUAACCUACCUAUAAGACUGGGAUAACUUCGGGAAACCGUAGCUAAUACCGGAUAAUAUUUUGAACCGCAUGGUUCAAAAGUGAAAGACGGCCUUGCUGUCACUUAUAGAUGGAUCCGCGCUGCAUUAGCUAGUUGGUAAGGUAACGGCUUACCAAGGCAACGAUGCAUAGCCGACCUGAGAGGGUGAUCGGCCACACUGGAACUGAGACACGGUCCAGACUCCUACGGGAGGCAGCAGUAGGGAAUCUUCCGCAAUGGGCGAAAGCCUGACGGAGCAACGCCGCGUGAGUGAUGAAGGUCUUCGGAUCGUAAAACUCUGUUAUGAGGGAAGAACAUAUGUGUAAGUAACUGUGCACAUCUUGACGGUACCUAAUCAGAAAGCCACGGCUAACUACGUG
rnacentral:rRNA from 1 species